GGGACAUUCCCAAAGUGGUGUCACUCAUGUCCCAAACCUUCCCGCAGCCAGGGGACAAUGCCAGGGUGGUGUCACCCGUGUCCCAAACUUGCCAGCAGCCAGGGGACAAUCCCAGGGUGGUGUCUCCCGUGUCCCAAACCUUCCCGCAGCCAGGGGACAAUCCCAAAGUGGUGUCACCCGUGUCCCAGACCUGCCAGCCGGGGCACAGCUCAGCUCCUCCCGUUUUUCCCGUUGCUCCGUUUCCUGCUCCCCAUCCCGAGGUGUGCCAGGUCCUGGCAGGAUGGCAGGAGGUCCCCGUGGGCAUUGCUGGCAUGUGAGGGCAGCUGGCCAAGGCUGGACCCGGGGACAGGGGACUCUGGGACACCCUCCCCAGGUCCCCUGGCUGCGGAGGGUGGUGUCCCCUCCCCCCGGGAUGGAGAUCCCGAACCUGGGGUUGCCUUCGGGGGGUGUGGGGGCUCCGGGGGGUGAGCUCUGGGUCCAUCCCGCGAUCAGCUCCCCGGGAUGCUCUGGGACAUUCCCAGGGUGGCAGUGCCAGUCCUGGUGGUGGCGGCUGUCCCCAGCUCUGGGUGUGUCCCCAGGUCCCUUUAGGAAACCCCACUUCGGGGUUUUCCCCGGUUUUUACGGCUUUUUCCACCCCUGGCAGCUCAUGCUGGGGUCUGUUCACCCUGACAGCGAAUCCCUGGGAAAGGUGAGGGCUCAGCUGCCAGCAGCGGCGGGGGGGGGGGGGGGGGGGGGGGGGGGGGGGGGGGGGGGGGGGGGGGGGGGGGGGGGGGGGGGGGGGGGGGGGGGGGGGGGGGGGGGGGGGGGGGGGGGGGGGGGGGGGGGGGGGGGGGGGGGGGGGGGGGGGGGGGGGGGGGGGGGGCGCCCCAACACCCCAAAACACCCCCAGGACACCCCCAGGACACCUUGGGACAUCCUGGGACACACCCAGGACAUGCCGGGACACUCCAGGAUAUCCCCAGGACAUCUUGGGACACCCUGGGACAGCCCUGAACAAUCCCGGGACACCCCAGGACACCCCCGGGACACCUCGGGACACCCCGGGACACCCCUGGAACAAUCCCAGGACACCCCAAGACACCCCCGGGACACCUCGGGACAUCCUGGGACACCCCUGGAACAAUCCCGGGACACCCCAGGGCUCCAGCAGUUUUUAACCCUUCGGUAGCCACCGCCCGCGACUCCUCGUGUAACGCUCGGAACUGUCGGAAUAAAAGAGUCCAAAACUCAACUGUGCUCCAGGUGGGAUUGCACUGGGAUUGGGAUAAAGGAUGGGGUUAUCGGGAUAAAGGAUGGGGUUAUCGGGAUAAAGGAUGGGGUUAUUGGGAUUAAAGGAUGGGGUUAUUUGGAUUAAAGGAUGAGGUUAUCGGGAUAAAGGAUGUUAUUGGGAUAAAGGAUGGGGUUACUGGGAUUAAAGGAUGGGGUUAUUGGGAUUUCAAGGAUGAGGUUAUUUGGAUUAAAGGACGAGGUUAAUGGGAUUAAAAAAUGACGUUAUUGGGAUUUAAAGGAGGAGAUUAUUGGGAUUUAAAGGAUGGGGUUACUGGGAUUAAAGGAUGGGGUUAUCGGGAUUUCAAGGAUGGGGUUAUUUAGAUUAAAGGAUGGGGUUACUGGGAUUAAAGGAUGGGGUUAUUGGGAUUAAAGGAUGAGGUUAUUUGGAUUAAAGGACGAGGUUAAUGGGAUUAAAAAAUGACGUUAUUGGGAUUUAAAGGAGGAGAUUAUUGGGAUUUAAAGGAUGGGGUUACUGGGAUUAAAGGAUGGGGUUAUUGGGAUUAAAGGAUGAGGUUAUUUGGAUUAAAGGACGAGGUUAAUGGGAUUAAAAAAUGACGUUAUUGGGAUUUAAAGGAGGAGAUUAUUGGGAUUUAAAGGAUGGGGUUACUGGGAUUAAAGGAUGGGGUUAUUGGGAUUAAAGGAUGAGGUUAUUUGGAUUAAAGGACGAGGUUAAUGGGAUUAAAAAAUGACGUUAUUGGGAUUUAAAGGAGGAGAUUAUUGGGAUUUAAAGGAUGGGGUUACUGGGAUUAAAGGAUGGGGUUAUUGGGAUUAAAGGAUGAGGUUAUUUGGAUUAAAGGACGAGGUUAAUGGGAUUAAAAAAUGACGUUAUUGGGAUUUAAAGGAGGAGAUUAUUGGGAUUUAAAGGAUGGGGUUACUGGGAUUAAAGGAUGGGGUUAUUGGGAUUAAAGGAUGAGGUUAUUGGGAUUAAAGGAUGGGGUUACUGGGAUUAAAUGAUGGGAUUAUCGGGAUAAAGGAUGGGGUUAUUGGGAUUUCAAGGAUGAGGUUAUUUAGAUUAAAGGAUGGGGUUAUUGGGAUAAAGGAUGAGGUUAUUGGGAUUAAAGGAUGAGGUUAUUUGGAUUAAAGGACGAGGUUAAUGGGAUUAAAAAAUGACGUUAUUGGGAUUUAAAGGAGGAGAUUAUUGGGAUUUAAAGGAUGGGGUUAUUGGGAUUUAAAGGAUGAGGUUAUUGGGAUUAAAAAUCUGUAUUUUAUAUAUACACAUUAUGUACACAAUAGAUGUGUGCACACUAAUAAAAAUAUAUAAAUAUAAUUUAUAAAAUACGAUAUGCACAUGCACACAAAUAAA
rnacentral:lncRNA from 1 species